ensembl:lncRNA
GGCGUCUUUGUCACAUUCAGCAGUUCAUGUUAAAUAUGUAACCAGGAAAGAAACACUAAAACUCAUCUGAACACACAUCGAGAGCUUGAGAAGAACUGAAUCCACUAACAACAGAAAAGAUCACUGAAGGAGAGAAAGGAAUGAAGAUCAUCUGGACUUUCACUCUGCUGAUGAUUCCUGGUGAGAGUCUGAACUCACAGUAAAUCACUAAAAAACAGCACAUAGUCUUUAGUUUAUCUGUACAAACUCUAUACAAACUUAUACAUUUGAAAGUUAAUCUCUUCAUUCUCAUAUAAAUAUGUGUAUUAAGAUGCUGGUUUGUUGUAGGUGUGUUGAGCUCCACCACUCUGACAGGAUAUUCAGAAGGAGGUGCUAAAGUUUCCUCCACUGAAGUGAAGACAAAUGUUGUAACAGUGUCAAACUUGUUUAACGACCCCACCCAGUGGACAGAGUCUUACCCGGACAUUAACUCGUACCACACCGAGUCAGCAGGUGUGUUGAGCUCCACCACUCUGACAGCAUAUUCAGAAGAAGGGGCUGAAGUUUCCUCCACUGAAGUGAAGACGAAUGUUGUAACAGUUAGAGAUGUAACAGUGCCAGAAGAAUGCAACAGUCAGACCCUUGGAGGAUGUUUUCAAAAUCUGCUUGAGCAGAUCGAGAAUAUCACAGCUCAAGUGCUUCCUUUAAAUACUGUGACAAACAUUUUGAAUGUGGCCUUCAACGCUUCAGAGAAGAUUGUAGAGUCAUCAUCAUCAGCAAGCCCAACUGAACUAGCCUCCUAUGGAAACCGUGUGUUAAAAACCAGUGAGAAACUCAUUUCUACAUUAGUGAAGCCGACAGUCACACAUGACAGUGUCAGUUUUACUCUUCCUGCUGUAGGUGAGUGAAGAAACAAUUAUUAUUGAUAAUGAAACUCAGAUUAUAUAUGACGUCAGUGACUUGCUUUAGUCUAGAGAGCAUUGUUGGGACAGACAGCAACACAUGCAGCUACAGUAACUAAUUAAUUGUGUUACAAACUUAUAAAAGAGCAGGAAACACUGCCUGCAUUUUUUGUUACGCAUGUCAAAAGUCAGCAUUUUGAUGCAAAUUCAUCUUUCAAAUUAGUUGGCGAUGUGGGCAGAUAGUUUCAUGACAAACCAUGAAAAAAAGAAACUACAAAAUUAAACACAGAUUUCCUUACGAUAAGAAGUUCAUGGUUUGUGGAGACCACAAUGAGUUUUUUGAAUAUUUUCUGCCUUGAGCACAAAACAAUCAACAGUUGCAAGACACACAGCAAAAUCCCUGGUGUUAAAUUAACACUGCUCUAUUUUUAUAUGGGAACAACCAGCAGUGUUAAAAGUAACACUGAAGCAGUAUUGAAGUUAAUGUGGUAAUUAAGUGAUUAAUUAAGUGAUGAUUGUGCAUUAGUGAUGAACACCUGCUGUUAACAAGCAGAAUCACUGAAAGAAAGAAAAAACUCAAGUACUAUGUUGGUCCGUAUACGUUUUGAUCAUUUCAUUUCCUAUUUGGAAUGCAAUAACGAGAAAUGGAAAAAUGGCCGGUUAUUUUUUUUCCUGUUUAGUUUAAUAAACCGAAAAUGAGAUUUUGGCUCGAUUUCUAA